CACGGAGGGUGCAAGCGUUAUUCGGAAUCACUGGGCGUAAAGAGCGCGUAGGCGGUCUCUUAAGUCAGAUGUGAAAGCCCGGGGCUCAACCCCGGAAGUGCAUUUGAAACUAAGGGACUUGAGUAUGGGAGAGGGAAGUGGAAUUCCUGGUGUAGCGGUGAAAUGCGUAGAUAUCAGGAGGAACACCGGUGGCGAUGGCGACUUCCUGGACCAAUACUGACGCUGAGGCGCGAAGGCGUGGGGAGCAAACAGG
rnacentral:rRNA from 1 species